GACGAAUGCUGGCGGCGUGCUUAACACAUGCAAGUCGAACGGAAAGUCCCUGCUUUCAUGGUACUCGAGUUGCGAACGGGUGUGUAACACGUUUGUGUUCUGCCCUGCACUUCGUGAUAAGCCUUUGAAACUGUGUCUAAUACCGCUUAUGAGCCCUUUUUAGUGCGAUUGUUGUAAAGUUUUUUCGGUGUAGUAUGAUCUCGCGGCCUAUCAGCUUGUUGUUUGGGUAAUGGCCUACAAAGGCGGCGACGGGUAGCCGGACUGCGAGGGUGGACGGCCACAUUGGGACUGAGAUACGGCCCAGACACAUAAGGGAGGCAGGAGUGGGGAAUAUAGCAGAAUGGGCGAAAGCCUGAUGCAGCGACGAAGCGUGGGGGAUGACGGCCUUCGGGUUGUAAACUCCUUUCGCUAGGGACGAAGCUUUUGUGACGGUACCUAGAUAAGAAGCACCGGCUAACUACGU
rnacentral:rRNA from 1 species